GAGCACGUAGGUGGGUUUGUAAGUCAGAUGUGAAAGCCUUCUGUUCAACGGAAGAAUUGCAUCUGAAACUGCGAGUCUUGAGUGUAGGAGGGGAGAAUGGAACUACUGGUGGAGCGGUGAAAUGCGUAGAUAUCAGAAGGAACUCCGGCGGCGAAAGCGAUUCUCUGGCCUAUUACUGACACUCAGUGUGCGAAAGCUAGGGGAGCAAACGGGAUUAGAUACCCCGGUAGUCCUAGCCGUAAACGAUGGGCACUAAGUAGAGGGGUUUU
rnacentral:rRNA from 1 species